AAAUUUUAUUUUAAAUAUUUUAUAGGAAUAUUUGGCCAAGCACUGUAGUUUGGGAUGCAACUUUGGGAGAGUUCUUUUUUCAAUUUGAGGCCCUUUGCAGUUUUAAAUAUAACAGUUUGUAUUUAGUAAAGUUGAUUUAUCAGUUCUUGAAAAAACGUUAGUUUUAGAUUGCUGGUGGGAAAGUGUGUAAUGAGAAUUAGUCUUGUCAUAGUUGCUUAAAAGGACUAAAGUGGAUAGGGAGGCCACAUUGUUUAUUUCAAAAUGAUUAAUUUUUAUCUUAAUCCUCCCAAUUUAGAGGUGGUAGCUGGUAGGUUAUGCCCCAUAGGAUUGUCCCUUUCUUAGAUGUCAAUCACACUUGAGCACUUACGGCAGACUUUUGUCAGUGUGAGUUUUGAGACAAACAAUUAGCAGUUUCCCAUUCUGGAAAACCAGAAGGCCCUCUAGUAAAGAAAGAUACCUUACACAUAAGGUAUCUAUCUCCUCCAGUGUAUCUGGAAAGGCUGGAGAGAUAAUGGUGAAAUGUCAAAUCCGGCUUUGAAGACCAUAUCUUCAUUCAGCCUUUUAAUGAAAGAAUAGAAAGUGAGGAGGCCUCCCAGUGACUUCUGUUAAGCAAAAGUGUAUCUGAAGAUGCUCUUAUCUUCCAUCAGUCUUUUUACUAUGGGAAAGGAAGGUAUAAGAAACUCUUUGACAGCAGUAAAAUGGAUAGUUCUUGAAAUUAGAGUAGUUUUAUAGUAAAAGGGUACAAUGUCAGCAGUUGGCUCCCUCUACUUAAGGGAAGCUUUUUUAGUGGUGUAAGUGAAAAUUGGUGUAUUUGCCAUAUCAGUUCUACAGUUGAUGUUUGUUUGUGGUUUAAUGAUUUUAAAUGGUUUUAAGGAAAUGUCACAUGAAAAUGUGGCAUAACAAAUUUGAAAAACUGAUUUGCUACAAAGCUUUAAAUGACAUCUAAAGAUUACAGAGCAAGUUUCAGAUACUUCACAGGGAGACCUUUAUUUGCUGGGGUUUUUGUUUUCUGAGGUUGAUUUUAGAUGUUAAAAGAUCAAAGCUGUUUUUAUGAAUUUCUAGAACAGUUGGUAUGUAGAAUGCAAUGAGAUCUGUUAAAGCUUUUUCUUAUGCUUCUGGGUUCCUUCCAUUCUUUUCCUAACUUUUCAUUUGUUUAGCCUUGUAUUUUGUAUACUUCUGUUGGUUUGAAAAAUGCUCACUGAAAUUCAUCUUCUCUGCUUUUUGUAAUUCAAAGUUCAUCCCUUUUUGUAGGUGACUUGCUUAUGGGGAGUCUUUCUUCCAUUUGAAAACUCUUAGAGACUACCACAUGUCCAUAAGUGAGCUCAGCUAGCUAGUUAAUUGAGAAAUUUUAUAUUGAUGGGACUACUGAGUAAAGCAACUGAUUACACAAGCCACUUAGAAAAAAUCCUCUUUUGCUCCCAUGUUUCACUUCUCACACAUAGGUGCACACCUAAAAUGCAGUUUGAGUUUAAUUGUUCGCCUUUGGUAAUAGUCAACAGGUGAUCUUCCCUUUUCUAGCUGUCAGAAGCCAUUUUUUUCUGAUGGGUUGGUAAAUAAGCAUUUGCCUACCUCUCUGUUCUGUUGUACCAUGCCCCCAUAUUUCUUAAAGAAAUGAUAACUGGUUUUCCAACCCACUCCCCACUCCCAAUACCCAUGCACAUCUGUGAGUGAAGAAUGUAUUUUCUCUCUUCACAUCUCUCUCAGUUUAUAGCAUAUGUAAAUUACAUUCCCCAUAACUUUAAUAUGAUGAUAUUACAUGAAGCAGAAAGACCUGUUGACAAAUAGAAACUCUGGGGUGUAUUCUUUAGGGUAUACUUCAAAGAUGCAUUUAUUUCUCCUUUCUUUAUUAAAAGAGUUGAUCAUCUCAAUCUUACUUCUAAACAUGUGAAUUAUGUACAUAAUUUCUACUUCUAAAUCUAUGCUACUCUGGAUUAUUUACCUCUCAAAUUCAGUGCCCAAAAUCAAAUAUAAGUCUUUAGUUUUCUUUGUACCCAAGCUAACAUGUCUAAAAGAAUGAACUCUCAUCAAGCUGUACAUUUAUAUAUGCUUAUGUGAAAAUUCUGCAGCUCAUUGUGUUAAUUUUAAUAAGUUUACCUAGUACACAGAUUAUUAGUAAAUGUCUUGCUAAAAUAUACUAAUCAAAUUAGAUAAAACACCUAUGUGAAGUCAAAAUGUUAAAUUGUGUAAAGCCUCCUUUCCCAUAAUCUUUCGCUAAAAUUUGACGGAAGAUUAUUGAUGUAUAGAAGAGAAACUGUGAUUAAUGUGUCAAUUAUUAUAAAUACUGCUGGUGUAUUUUAAAUGUUAUUUUUAAUGUUUAGGCUAUCCCUCUUCACUUUUACACAAGUAAAUUAAAUGAAGGAUACCCAAAGCAAAAUUUAAAGCAAACUAGCUUCUAAAGUAGAAUUAGAAUUUAUUCUUACUAAAUGGUUUUGUAAGUUAAACCAAAACAAAUUCUUGCUUAAUAUAUGGCCUACCUAGCCUUUGAAAACGAAAACAAAAAAGGAGAUGGAGGCUGUUGUUCAAAGAAAAUCAAUGGUAUGUUUAAUUAUGCAUUAGCAUAUUAUAUGAUUGACCAUUAUAGACAAUGAAGUCAGACAUGCCUGGGACCAAAUCCAACUUUGCUACAUAUUUGAGGCAUUUGUCCUUGAGCUAUUUAUUUAGCCUUCUAAGCCUCUUAUUUCCCUAUAUGAAAAAUGGGGAUAAUGCCUGCCUUUGAGAGUUUGAGAGAAUAAAUGAGUUAUGCAAAUAAUUUGUGAAAAAUCCAUACACAACAUAAGGCAGUAUGUAUAGCAAGCAUAUAUGGUAGAAACCUCAGUUUCAGUGUCCAAACUGCUUUCCUACAUCACCCCUUGACAUGCUACAAAUCAUACCAGGAGUCUUCAGUUUUGAUCUAAAAGUAUAAUUGCAUGGUAUGGAUAUAAUCAGAAAAGAAGACAUUGUUGUAGGCUAGAAAAGUCUUAAUGUUGUAAGAAGUAAACAAAUUAUGUUCUGAUCCUGGCUCUUACACCACUUAGUUGGUUUCUUUGGUCAAGUCAUUAAACUUCUUUCAGUUUUCCUCAUUGGUAACAUUAGAAUUUGAGACUUCAUAAGAUUUUAAAGUUCCCUAUAUAUUAGUUCAUACAUUUAGACAUGUUUUGUAAGAGAGCUGCCAACUUAAGCCUUCCCAUUGCCAUACCCUUUUCUUACCACCAGCCUAUUGUGUGCCCCCCAAAUGAAGUUUAUGAAUACUUGGUAAGUAGGUUGAAUACCCAAGAAAAUAUUUAAAGCAACAGUAUGUCAGUCAUUCAACUAUCUUUGUGCUGAGUAGUAAGUAUUGGGAUACAGAAAUAGGACUAUUCUGCCCUUAAAGAUCUCAGGCUGUAUGAAAAUAAUUUGUAAAUAUAAGGUGCUGAUGGGAACAGUCCAGGAUAUCCGUAUGUCAAAUUGGUAUGGGGAGGAAGUAGUUAAACUGAGUUACCCUUCAGAUUAAUUUAUUCUCUGCAUAGGUAAUACAUCUAUAAAGUUAAAAAUUUUAAAUGUACAAGAGUAUAAAUUGAAAGCCUCUCUGACACCUCUUUCCUCCAGCCACCCAGUUUGCAUCCUUAGAAGCAACCCAUUAUUGUGCAUCCUUCUGAAGCUAACUCUUGAACUGAGUCUUAAAAGGGUCAUUCAUAAAUGAUAGGUCACUGAUAAAAUAUUAGGUCGUUGAUAAAAGAAGGGGAUGAUUUUCCAAGUAGAGGGAGAAGGCAGUUUGUAUAACAAUGGAAGAGUGAAAAUAUGUCACAUUUGGGAAAUGAUGUGAUUAAUUUGACAGGAACUAGAGCAAAGGGCUUACAUGUCAUGGUAAGAAAUUGAGAUUUUUAUCAUUAGUGUAUGGUUGCUGUUAAAGGUGUUUUUGAAGCUUUAUUAUUAAAGUAGUACAUAUCUUGGAACCAUUACAGUAUACUUUUCAAUGAGUAUCCUAUUGGUAAUUUAAAUCUUGUAAUAAAGUUUUGUAUAAGAAAAUCCUGGGGGAGCUCUGGCUCCCAGAACUCAGGAUUCCCAUCCAAUAAAAAGUACUAAAUGGCUUGGUAUACCUAAAUGUAGCUUAAGUAUUCUGUUUGCUUUAAAUAACUUGUUUGCCUCAAUAUUACCUUAAAAAUGAUUAAAUAUUUUGGUACAUGUUAAGAUAUUCUGCCAAAAAUUGAUUUUUGGUACAGCAGAACUUUAAAAAUUAUAACCAACCCUACAUUAAACACAAACCAAGUUUGUGUUAAGUCUUAUGCAUACAUAACCUGAUUUAUCUUUUAAGGAACUCUAAGGAAGUGUUUUUAUCCCCUCUUUAUAAAUGAAAGGAACUGAGGCUCUGAGGAUUUGACUCACAUAGCUAGUAAGUGACAAAGCAUAGAUUCAGACUCAGGUGUUCUGCUCCCAAAGCCAGUGCUCUUGGAAAUUGCCAGAGUUUAUUUUAUUACUUUGCUGACUGUAAAAUAGGAGGAAGGAAAACCUGUAGCCAUUGAUUUGUUUGUAUUGUAACCCUUUACUUGAAGGAUAUUUUUAAUCAUUUUAAAUCCCUAGAUGAUAAUGUUGGAGAUGGCCCUUGUUGUUUUCUGCUUAUUGUAUUUCCCUGGUUUUAUUUUGAGAUCUCUAAAGUUGAGUUUUGAAAGAGGAGAAGAAAUUUGCAUAUUUCAGGGCUCAUGUAUGUACCUUAACCUUAAAACUUCAAUGAUUUUUGUAGCUUAGUUUUGAUGUAUCGUAUACGUGGUUGGGUGUUUUUUUUUCUGUUAUAAUUACCCUGCAAAGAUAGACAUAUGUCACACUUGCAUCAACUUUAUGAUGUAUUACUUUCAUGUACUUGAAACUAACAUGACAGACUGUGUAGGUAUAUAAAGUCAGGGAGAAAAGAAUAUACUUUGUUCAUUGGUUUUGAAAAAUAAUCAGGCUGAUCAGUAUUCACAAAUGGCUUUUUUGAAGUUCUGGAUCAGCUAGGUUUCAUGGACUUGACUCCUUUAUUCUGUACCUGUUAAUCAGUGUUUUGAGACUAAAUACUGUUCGAAUUUGCUAAAAAUCCUUUAUUUAUAACAGAUAAGCUGAAGUAUUAGAGAAACCAAAGAUUUCAUAUUUUAUACAACUGUCUUUAUCCUGGCGAUAUGCACUGUUUAAAUUUUUCUCUAGUGCAUAGAUUAUGUAACUCCAUAUAGUUUCUUCAUUUUUAAUAUAUGUAGAAACUGAUUGUUAACUGCAAGCUUUUGCAACCUAAGUGUAUUUGUUCUGACAUUUAGGUCCAUUUAUAGUAUUUUAUUUCACAGGUUCCUUUCUCACCCCAAGAAAAAUGACUAACUGCAGAUAAGAUCUUUUUUCACUUCUACAUUUGACUUAUGAGAACAUUUCAUUAAUAGUCUGUUCUGUAAUAAUACUGGAAUUUGGUAACUUAAAUCAUAUGACUUCAUUUAAAACAGAUUUAUUUGGCAUUCAAAUUAAAUAUAUAUGUAUAUGUUUUUCUAAAGUCAGGAUCUCAAGCUGUUCUUUUAAAGAAUGCCAUCCUUAUAAAUAUAUUGUAAAUACUAUUUAAUGAAUCUUACAUUUCAGACCUGCAGAAUAACUUCCAAGUUUACUCUUUGUUACUUUCUUGUAUUUACUACCUUUCUUUUCAAGUCUUUCUGUUAUUUUAAACCCCAUGGUCUCCAUACAGACCUGUGUGAAUAGCAUACUUGUUUCCAUAUAGUUCUGGGUAAGCCUUGUAAAAAAGCCAGGUUCAGUUUCCAAUUGGUUCACUUACUUUUCAUUUAAUUUGGCAGACCUAUUCUAAGUACAGUGAAAAAAAGAGGCCUGACAAAUAUAUCUUGAGAGGAUACAAGCUGUUAAAUAAACAGCAGUUAGCAGCCUCUUAAUCCUUUCCUGAUAUUAGUAGGUCUAAUCAGUGCCUUUGAUUGCCUAAACCCAGUCAAGAGAAAAAUAAAGGGUUAAAAGAACAGAAAGGAGUUGAAGUAGGACAAGGAAAGAAAAAAUACACAUACUGUAGACUCCUUACUAAUCAAACCUUAACUUUGGUGACACUCUGGCAUCUAGUUUUGGAUCAUCUAAGAGGUGCCCUACUGAUUAAAGUUAAAAAUGCCUCUUAAAAAUGUGUUCUAAAAAUUCAGUAGAUAACACCAUGAGUCUUAAUUUUACAUUUGAAGUCAUACAAUUCUAUUACUUGUUUUGUUUGAUGAUCAUUGAUACUUGAUUGCUAUUCCAUUAAAACUUGGAAAUAGUUUUCUUACUGUACUAAUAAUACAGCAGAGACUCUCUUAAGGUACCUGUUAGGGGCUCAGAAUUGUCAUAUUGUAUCUGAACCUCAUUUUGAUGAUAAAAUAAUAGUUAUUAUUUACAUUGAACAUUUUUGAACAUUGACUAUGUGCCAGGAGCUUAA